rnacentral:rRNA from 1 species
CUCUUCUUGAAUAUAUUUUGAUGUAUGGCCUGCCCACUGAAUAUUAAAGGGCCGCGGUAUUUUGACCGUGCAAAGGUAGCAUAAUCAUUAGUCUUUUAAUUGUAGGCUGGAAUGAAUGGUUUGACGAGGUGUUAACUGUCUUUAAUUUUUUUUUAUUGAAUUUAAAUUUUAGGUUAAAAUGCCUAAAUAUUUUUUUGGGACGAGAAGACCCUAUAGAGUUUAAUAUAUUUUUAUUUUUUUGUGUGUUAAUUUUUGAUGUAAAAAUUUAUUUUGUUGGGGUGAUGGGAAGAUUGAAUUAACUCUUUUUGUUUUAUUAUAUUUAUUUAUAUAUAUUUGAUCCAUUUUUAUUGAUUAUAAGACUAAAUUACC